GACGAACGCUGGCGGCGUGCUUAACACAUGCAAGUCGAACGGAGCACCCUUGAAGGAGUUUUCGGACAACGGAUAGGAAUGCUUAGUGGCGGACUGGUGAGUAACGCGUGAGGAACCUGCCUUUCGGAGGGGGACAACAGUUGGAAACGACUGCUAAUACCGCAUGAUACAUCGGUGUCGCAUGGCACUGAUGUCAAAGAUUUAUCGCCGAAAGAUGGCCUCGCGUCUGAUUAGCUAGUUGGUGGGGCAACGGCCCACCAAGGCGACGAUCAGUAGCCGGACUGAGAGGUUGGCCGGCCACAUUGGGACUGAGAUACGGCCCAG
rnacentral:rRNA from 1 species